CUGGAAUGUGAUUUUUUUCCUUCCUUCCUUUCGGACAUAACAACAUUCACUCAGACUAUGGGCCAACAUGAACGUUUCCAGAAACUGCGGACUCACACACAAAUGGCUUACUUUAUAACAUAUUUGGGUUUUGGUCACUAGGAUUCCAUUCAAUGCCCCGGAAAAGCUUAAGGGUAUCUUCAAGUAGGAAAAGAAAACAAAAAUGGAACUAGACUGGAAAAAGCAAAAAGAAGAGAGUGAUAUAGAUCUAAGCCAAGAAAGCACCAUGGAUCUGCAGGAUGACCAUCAACAUAUGGAUGAAAUCUCAGAAAAGGAAUUGGAAAUGGUCCUGUCAAAUCCAGACAUUAGAGAGGAGAAGAAUCUUUUGAACCAGUUCCGGAAGAUGGUGAAGGAGCUUCAGGCUCGAACAGUGGAGUUGGAAGAAGAGCUGGAAGCUGAAAAAACAACCCAAGCCAAGGUGGAAAAGCAGAGGAGUGAUCUGGCUCAUGAGUUAGAGGAGAUGAACAAGCAGCUGGAAGAGGCUCGGGGCACCAGUCUGGCCCAGUUAGAAAUCAAUAAGAAGAGGGAGGCUGAGUUUGUGAGGCUGCGAAGAGACCUGGAUGAGGCCACUUUUCACUUCGAUUCCACUGCUGCCGCUAUUAGGAAGAAACACGAAGACAGUCUGGAGGAGCUGAAGGGGCAAGUGGAUAACCUGCAGUGGGUCAGGCAGAGCUUGGAGAAAGAAAAGAGCGAGUUGAAACUAGAAGUGGAGGGCCUGCUGAAUAAUGUGGAGAAGAUAGCUAAAGCAAAGUCAAAGGCUGAGAAGCUCUGUAGACUGUUUGAAAGUCAACUUAGUGAAACUAAUACUAGACUUGAAGAGAUGACCAAGUUGAUAAAUGAUGUUACCACCCAGAAGUCAAAGCUUGAGAGUGAGAAAGAUGAAUUUACAAGAAAACUAGAAGAGAAAGAGUCUCUGAUAAACCAACUUUCCAGAGGAACGAAUAACUUUACUCAACAGAUUGAAGAAAUGAGAAGAGUGCUGGAACAAGAAACUGAAUCCAAGAAACUCCUUGCACAUGCCCUGCAAUUAGCAAAACGUGAUUACGACCUCCUGAAGGGACAAUAUAGAGAAGAACAAGAAGCCAAGACCAAGUUGCUAUGGGCCUUGACCAAAGGACGUGCAGAAGUGGUACAAUGGAGAACUCACUAUGAAUCACAUACUCUCCAGAGGAAAGAAGAUUUUGAGGAAGCCAAGAAGAAGCUGGCGUCCCGCCUGCAGGAGGCUGGAGAGGCCAUCCAGGAAGCCAAUGCCAAAAGCACUUCGUUGGAGAAGACGAAGCAACGUCUCCAGUUGGAACUGGAGGAUGUUGUGUCCGACCUGGAGAAGGUCCACUCUACAGCGGCCAUCCUGGAUGAGAAGCAGAAGAACUUUGACAAAAUCCUCACAGACUGGAAGCAGAAAUACGAGGAUUCUCACGCCGACCUUGAAGCCUCCCAGAUGGAGGCACGAAACAUUAGUGAGGAGCUGUUUCAGCUCAAGCAAGCUUAUGAAGAGGUCAUAGUGAACCAGGAGACUCUGAAAAGGGAAAACAAGAACCUCCACGAAGAAAUUUCUGAUCUGACAGAACAGAUUAUGGAAGGAAACAAGAACCUGCAUGAGUUGGAAAAAGUCAAAAGACUGGCUGAACAGGAAAAAUCAGAGGCCCAGGUGGCCCUGGAAGAAGCUGAGGGAGUCCUGGAACGUGAAGAGAGCAAAAUCCUUCAUUUCCAGUUUGAGGUCUUGGAGGCCAAAGUAGAACUUGAAAGGAAACUUGUAGAGAAAGAAGAAGAAAUUGAAAACUUGAGGAGAGACCAGCAGCGCACCAUUGAUUCUCUGCAGUCCACUUUGCACUCGGAAGCCAAGAGUCAAGCUGAAGCCUCUCGGCUAAAGAAAAAGAUGGAAGGGGACCUCAAUGAGAUGGAGUUACAGCUCAGCCAUGCUAACCGACAGACAUCUGAGGCCUCCAAAUCUCUGAACACCCUUCACAUGCAAAUCAAGCAUCUACAAGUGCAGGUAGAUGAAACUACACGCCACAAUGAUAGUCUGAAGGAGGAGGUGAUGGUGGCCGAGAGGCAGCAUGCCAUUCUGCAGUCAGAAGUGGAGGAAUUACGUGCUUUGCAGGAACAGACGGAACGUGGACGGAGACUGGCUGAACAAGAGCUUCUAGAAGCCACUGAAAAACUGAACAUGCUACACACUCAAAACACAAGCCUUCUCUCUCUGAAGAAAAAAUUGGAGACUGAUAUUGCUUGUAUGAAGAAAGAAUUAGAAAAUGCAACAGAAGAACGUCGUAGUGCUGAAGAAAAAGCUAAGAAGUCAAGCACUGAUGUAAAGAAUUGGGCAACAUUGUUGACGGAGAGUUUGAAGAAGGAACAGUACACUUGUUCUCACUUGGAAAGGAUAAGAAACAACAUGGAACAGACUAUUGUAGACUUACAGAAAAGGCUAGAAGAUGCUGAGCAGAGUACUUUAAAGGGGGGCAGUAAGCAGAUCCAGAAACUGGAAUCCAGGAUCCGUGAACUAGAAUGUAAACUAGAAAGUGAAGUAAGAAGGAGUUCUGAGGCCCAGAAUGGAGCCCGAAAAUUUGAGACAUCCAUCAAGGAAUUGACUUUUCAGGCAGAGGAAGACAAGAAAAACCUAAAUAGGAUGCAGAACUUGAUAGAUAGGUUGCAGCUAAAAGUAAAAAGUUACAAACACCAAGUAGAGGCAGUGGAGGCACAAGCUAAUCAAUAUCUGUACCAGUUUAAGACUCAGCAGCGUGAGCUGGAUGAUGCAAAGGAAAGAGCGCAGAUGGCUGAAUCACAAGCCAACAAACUCAGGGCGAAAGCAAGAGAGAUUGGGAAAAAGAUCCUACACAGUUCUGGUCUUUUCAUCAGAAAUAUUUAGCUGUCCUCUUAAAAGUCUUGGAGCCACUGUAGGAUUAUAGUCAGCUUUUACAGGCUCUGGGAUUAUACUGAUAAGAAUCUCUUAAAAUCAACGGAAGACCAAGAGAACAGACCGCCAUCUCUAAAUGGCGAACUAUGAAUUUCAUUCAACCAUGGGAUCUGGAGAUGCUGGCAUUGAAUGGCACACAUGGCCGGCAUGAAACAUGAUCUACAGACCCAAAGCAAGACACAAUAUUCUCAGAAGUGCCUGGAAGAACCUGUAGUGCCUGUACUGUUAGCCUUUCAGCCUUGUCUGUCUGUGAUGAUAUUCCUUCAAUAAAUCAUACUAGGAAAUAUGA